GAAGCAGUCUCGAUUUAAUCGAAUAAAAUUCUGGAUAAAAUUAUGAUAAUGACAUUAUUUAUCCAUGAGUCUUGACCAAUAUACGUGCCAGCAGUCGCGGUAAUACGUAAAAGACUAGUGUUAUUCAUCUUUAAUAGGUUUAAAGGGUACCUAGACGGCAAAUUAAGCCUUAAUUGGGACUGAUUUGCUAGAGUUACUUAUGAGGAAGUUUUAAUGUACUAGAGGUGAAGAGAUGAAAUUCAGUCAUACCUUUUUUCUAACGAAAAAUUUCGGCACAGGUUUAGGUGAAAACAUCUUCUUAUGGGAUAACUGACGUUGAGGGACGAAGGCUUUUUAUCGCAAACAGGAUUAGAUACCCUGGUAGUCAAAGCAGAAAAUGAUGAGUGUCAUAGAUUAGGUAAAUAUUUAUUCUAUAAAUGAAAGUGUAAGCACUCCACCUCAAGAGUAAUUUGGCAACAUUGGAACUGAAAUCAUUAGACCGUGUCUGAAACCAGUAGUGAAGUAUGUUAUUUAAUUUGAUAAUCCGCAAAAAACCUUACCACAACUUGAAUGUUUAUGUAUUUAGUACUAUCAUAUGUCAUGCAUG
rnacentral:rRNA from 1 species